rnacentral:rRNA from 1 species
AUUGAACGCUGGCGGCAGGCCUAACACAUGCAAGUCGGGCGAGCCGCGGACGUGUGUGUUAUGUAUGGGGCUCUGCCUGAUGGAGGGGGAUAACUACUGGAAACGGUCUCUACUACCGCAUACCAUCUGAUGAACCCUUAUGGUAUUAGCUAGUAGGUGGGGUAAAGGCGCACCUAGGCGACGAUCUCUAGCUGGUCGGAGAGGAUGAUCAGCCACACUGGGACUGAGACACGGCCCAGACUCCUACGGGAGGCAGCAGUGGGGAAUAUUGCACAAUGGGCGCAAGCCUGAUGCAGCCAUGCCGCGUGUAUGAAGAAGGCCUUAGGGUUGUAAAGUACUUUCAGCGGGGAGGCGUUACCCGCAGAAGAAGCACCGGCUAACUCCGUGCCAGCAGCCGCGGUAAUUC